rnacentral:RNase_P_RNA from 1 species
CGAGAUGACCAGACAAUCGCUGCUUUGUCGUUGUGCUGCUCAGUUUACUGAGUGGCAGACGGGCGAAGGGGAGGAAAGUCCGGGCUCCAUUGGGCAGAGUGCCAGAUAACGUCUGGGGGGCGCGAGUCCACGACCAGUGCAGCAGAGAGCAAACCGCCGAUGACUACUUUUGUAGAACAGGUAAGGGUGAAAGGGUGCGGUAAGAGCGCACCGCGCGGCUAGUAAUAGUUCGUGGCACGGUAAACUCCACUCGGAGCAAUUUCAAAUAGGGUCCCAUGUUCCUUUGAGAAUAACGCACGGCCCGUGCGGGGACCGGGUAGAAAGCUUGAGCCAACGAGCGAUUGUUGGCCUAGACGAAUGAUUGUCACUUUAACCUAGUUAAAGCACAGAACCCGGCUUAUGGUCAUCUCGCAAC